rnacentral:lncRNA from 1 species
CGCGAGUCAGCCAGAGGAAAACACGUGUUUUCCAAAGUUCAUCCCAUAAUUGUUGCUUUCUCUCGGUUUACAACACCCAGCGCGCAAAAGGCAUUCAGAAUCGUUUACAAAAUACAGGCGUGUAUUAUAACAAAUCUUGUUUUGUUCCGUUCCCAUUCACAAUGCAAAUUCGACAAAACAUAUGAAGUCUACCACGAGAGUAACGUUAUGCUGGCUGUAAAAUGGGCCGUUUACAAUCAAAACGCUCACUGAAUGAAAAGCUGAACUAGCAACAAUGUUCCGGCUAACAACGUUAAGUGGUUGUGCUGGUUCAAAUGUACUAAUUUAAAGUACAUAGCUAGCCUAUCUAACGUGCUCUACUGCAAAUAUUGAAAAAGGCUACUAAAAGUGCCUACUCGUCAGUGUUCUUACCUACAUCUCAAAGGGCAGAGAACAAGGUAUCUUCACGGAAUGCGUUUAUGAGUGUCUUCUCUCCGCGUUGUUCUAUCCAGCGCACCCUUGAGUUCAGGUAGGCUGGAUCGGAUUGGUGUAGUAGUUUACGCCGCUCAGGUAGCAAGCUCUGCUCUCGCUUCCGAACGAAAUAAGUCGUGCCCACAAAAGGAAACCGCUGACCGUAAACAUUUGCUCUUGGAGCUCCCAGUGGAAAAAACGCCUGUCUGCCUGGCCUACCUCCUCCCAUAUAAUUGUAUGGCCCCCGCUCAGCAAAGUGAACACACGGUUGAUCAACAGAUUACCGUAGACUAUCUCUCUUGAUCAACAGGCGCCACCUAUAGGAGGAAACCGCUACACACACAUCCAUUAUCAUCCAGACGCCAGCGAGGAUGAUGGUGAAGACUGGUGAUACAGUGACCUUGAAAUGCUAUUUGGUUGAGCUUAUCACCUACUGCUACUCUGUGAUUUGGAUGAAAGUAGACCCUAGGAAUGGAACACUGACUAAGAUUGCAAACUUAAAGAUUGAUAACAACUCUGAGGAGGGAGAAGGGAAGCAGGACAAACUAUGUUCUGCUACAAUCGCCAACGCAACAGUGAGCGACUCAGGAAUGUACUAUUGUUCAGCUGUUCAAUCCGAAAUGAUCCACACUGGCAAUGGUUCUAGAGUUGUUGUGACAGAGAGAGAGAGAACACAGAACAUCACUGAAUCGCCAGCCAUCAAACUCCUCUCUCCAUCGGACGGUGACGGGUCUGUUGUGUUGACGACUCUAUACUACACAGCAGAGUCCUUCAUCCCUCUGCUGUGUUUGGUGUUGAAAGUGGUCCCAUCUCAGGUCCAUGUGUUCUGGCUCAUAGACGGGAGAGAGGACAGUGGACUAACUUCGUCCACUUGGACAGACAACAGUGAUUCAGCCACAGAGUUCACUAUGAACCAGAUUCUAGUCCAGGCAGAGGAGUGGGACAGAGGGGUGCAGUGUACGUGUGUGGUGGAGUUUGAAGGAAAUUCUAUCAACAAAACCCUGAUAAAGCCCAAUGGUAAUUGCAUCACUGUUUCUCAAAUACUCACUUUAUAUGUUAAUUUCAACAGUCUCCUCUGCAAA